UCUCCGUAGGUGAACCUGCGGAGGGAUCAUUACAGAGUUCAUGCCCUACCGGGUAGAUCUCCCACCCUAUGUUAUUAUUACUUUGUUGCUUUGGCGGGCCGUUAGGCUCCGGCCCGACUACCGGCCCCGGCUGGUAAGCGCCCGCCAGAGGACCCAAAACCCUGAAUAUUAGUGUCGUCUGAGGACUAUAUGAUAGUUAAAACUUUCAACAACGGAUCUCUUGGUUCUG
rnacentral:misc_RNA from 1 species